rnacentral:lncRNA from 1 species
AACUAUGGCCUAACAAAUCAACAUAGUACCUAGUGUAGUCUAUGGUGCAACAUAAAUGCGCACCUAAGCAUGCAUCGAAGGUGGCAAUAUCAAUAUUAGUGCUGUAGAUGUCCACUUACAUUCCUCCUUGAUGUUAGUACCGGAUGGCUUUUCCACCGAUACUAACACGUGAAAUUAGUACUGAACAGACGAUACCGGUCGGUAUUACCCAACCGGUACUAAAAUCCCCCUUUAGUACCGGGUAUUUUG